rnacentral:rRNA from 1 species
UACGAAGGGGGCUAGCGUUGCUCGGAAUCACUGGGCGUAAAGCGCACGUAGGCGGCUUUCUAAGUCAGGGGUGAAAUCCUGGAGCUCAACUCCAGAACUGCCUUUGAUACUGGAGAGCUUGAGUCCGGGAGAGGUGAGUGGAACUCCGAGUGUAGAGGUGAAAUUCGUAGAUAUUCGGAAGGAACACCAGUGGCGAAGGCGGCUCACUGGCCCGGUACUGACGCUGGGGUGCGAAAGCGAUGGGGAGCAAACAGG